rnacentral:rRNA from 1 species
GAGUACGUGAAACCGUUCAGGGGUAAACCUGAGAAACCCGAAAGGUCGAAAGGGGAGAUUCAGCGUGUCUCGAUAAUGGCAAUGUGACAGUUGUGCGACGGAUAAUGUACGCAUUGUCCGCACCUUCUGUUCAUUGAACUAUUGUCGAACGCGUGCACUUCUCCCCCGGUAGGACGUCGCGAUCCAUUGAGUGUCGAUUUAAGGCCCAUAGUGGAGUCCGUUUACAAUUUCGUGAACGAACCUGUGGUGUUUCCCGAUCGACGUGCUCGAUGGUAUACUUUAUGGCACAGGGCCGCUACAAUUUCGUUAGCGUUUGGCUCGUGGCAAGCAUGUCUGUUGGUGAUGGUGAUCGGACCUAGUGCCGGUUCUAUUCCCAGGCGGCUGUUGGCCACGUUGCUCUCAAACAGACCUUGUUGAAAUGCCGAUCAGCGACGCUAUAGCUUUGGGUACUUUCAGGACCCGUCUUGA